rfam:Triticum aestivum genome assembly, contig: Triticum_aestivum_CS42_TGACv1_scaffold_622253_7DS
GUAAUACUCCCUCCGUUCGGAAAUACUUGUCCGAGAAAUGAAUGUAUCUAAAUGUAUUUUAGUUCUAGAUACAUCCAUUUUGGCGACACGUAUUUCUGAACGAAGGGAGUAGGUG